AGGAGGAAAGAGGAAGCUUGGCACCCUCAGAGGAGGGGGGGCGGGGGGGUUUGCAGGCAGCUCUGGGAAGCAGCUCAAGGAAAGGCUGAAACAUGGGAGGCCUGAAGAGGGACCCCUGAACUACAUCAUCCCCAAACCAGGGACAGUCGCUGAGAAAACUGAGGAUAAAGCGAGACCUGGAAGGCCCACAGGACACCCAGGAGUCCUCCAGGUAAGUCAGAAAGGGCUGCACCCGAGCACGCAAAGGAGCAACGCCCUUAACCGGGAGGACUGGCGAGGGCUGCAAAGUCAGGCUGCGUGAAAGCCACUUUGCUGGGCACCAGGGGAAGCAGCGAGGAGAAAGCAGCAUUUGACAAGCGGAGACCGGUCCCAGCAGCGCAGCUGCACCCCGCGGGCCCUGCCCCGAAGUGGGGCCUCUUAGUCCGCCACAGCUGGCAUUUCUGACCGGACCGGCUCAGAACCAGUCCGGGAAAACCAUGUAACACGGGAAACUAUGCUACGGAGACCUGGAUGCUUGGAGAGAGCGCACGGGGCAGGUGCCAAGCAGGACCAGGAAACAGCGGCACCACAGCCGCCCUGUUCACCAGACUGUCACAGGCGCCUUCGCAAUCCACUCUCAGUGCUGCAGCCCAGAGCACGUGCAUGUGACCCCACCGCCUCUCUCCUGCCAGCUUGGUGAAGUUACACUUUCUUCUUUAUUGCAGUAACAUGUGUAACACAUUGGUGACAAGACAGAGUUACCAGGAUGGAUAGUGACGGUGGCUGCCUAGCGGUGUGGAUGUACUUGACACUACUGAACUGUGUGCUUAAAGGUGGUUAAGAUGGUAAACGUUAUGUGCAUUUUCACACAAUAAAAAAAACCCAAAACACG